UUUUCCAAUUUUUUAUGCUUAUUUUUGAGUUAGUUUUUAAGAAGUUUUCAAAAUUUGAGUUAAGAUCAAUGGUUCAUUCAUUAGUUAUUGAGGUUUAAAUUUGUUGUAAAAAUUACUCAGAUUUGGUUAGGAUUUGGUUUGGAGUUUAGAAUUUGGUUAGGAUUUGAUUUAGGGUUAGGAUUUGGUUAAGAUUUGGUUUAGGAUUAGGAUUUGAUUUAGGAUUAGGAUUUGGUUUAGGAUUUAGGAUUUGGUUAAGAUUUGGUUAGGAUUUGAUUUAAGAUUUAGGGUUUGAUUUAGAGUUUGGUUUAAGAUUUAGGAUUUGGUUUAGGAUUUGGUUUAGGAUUUAAGGUUUGAUUAGGGUUUGAUUUAGGAUAAGAAUUUAUUUAAGGUUGUUUAGAUUUUGAUUAGGAUUUGAUUAGGAUUUGAUUAGGAUUUUUUUAAAGUUUUUUAGGAUUUGAUUAGGAUUUGUAUAGGGUUGUUUAGAGAUCAGUUAGAAUUUGAUUAGAGUUUGUUAAGGAUUUUUUAGGAUUUGGUUAGUAUUUGACUAGGAUUUGAUUAAGAUUUAUUUAGGAUUUGAAUAGGAUUUGGUUAGGAUUUUUAGGACUUGUUGUUGCAAUUUUUUCUUUUAUCUUUUACAGCUAGGUGCUCGGUGCAUUCUCAAGCCACGUAAUAUGACAACUUUUAACUUGUAAAGAAAAACUUGAGUAGAGCAAAGAAGCCAAAGCAUCUUUUGGUGCUUUAAAAAAAGAGUUUACUUUUUCUUUAAUAUAUAUUGUGUUGACUUCUCUAAGAUAUUUUUUUAUACAAACAUAUACACCAGACU
rnacentral:lncRNA from 1 species